GGCUGGUCCGAUGGUAGUGGGUUAUCAGAACUUACUAACAUGAGUGUCACUAAAGUUGGUAUUCAACCCCCCACUGCUAAAUUUGACUGGCUUUUA
rnacentral:Y_RNA from 1 species